GGGGGGGGCGGGCGGGGGGCGUGGCACGUGCGGGGCGAGCGGAAGGGCCGUGCGUGGGGGGGGUGCUCGGGGGGCGACCGGGUGAGUAACACGUGGGUAACCUGCCCUUGACUUUGGGAUAACUUCAGGAAACUGGGGCUAAUACCGGAUAGGAGCUCCUGCUGCAUGGUGGGGGUUGGAAAGUUUCGGCGGUUGGGGAUGGACUCGCGGCUUAUCAGCUUGUUGGUGGGGUAGUGGCUUACCAAGGCUUUGACGGGUAGCCGGCCUGAGAGGGUGACCGGCCACAUUGGGCCUGAGAUACGGCCCAGACUCCUACGGGAGGCAGCAGUGGGGAAUAGUGCACAAUGGGCGGAAGCCUGAUGCAGCAACGCCGCGUGCGGGAUGACGGCCUUCGGGUUGUAAACCGCUUUCGCCUGUGACGAAGCGUGAGUGACGGUAAUGGGUAAAGAAGCACCGGCUAACUACGUG
rnacentral:rRNA from 1 species